rnacentral:lncRNA from 1 species
UUUGCCUGUGUUUGGAAUGAGGAGUUAUUUUUGAUGCUGGUUCUGACGUUAGCCAUGGGUACUCCUGGAGGAUUUCCAACUUUUGUAAUUGCCAUUGUAUCCUCGUUUUUUCCUCUUUUUAUUUUUUAAAGUUUCCCUGCUUACGUUCUUCUGUGCUUUCCACCAGGAUAGAAAUAGAGAAUCCAUUUUCUUGUUUUGGACUACCCAACACAAGACUCUUGUUUCCUGCCUUCUGGUCCCCGCCACCCUUGGGGCGCUGUCACCCCUGUGCAGCGAGCAGACAGAACUCCUCAGGUGCUGUCCUGAGCACACAGAGUCACCGGUGUCCUUACAGCAGCACAGGAGAGCACCACAUCAGUUGUACUAUAAAGAGCACAGGAGCUGGAACACAAUCUCCUCCUCCUUCCCUGCACUGUUUCACCGUCAGCCUCGCUCACAGCUGGAGGAAGACAGCCUCGCCAGCAGCCUGAGCAGAAGCUGGGAGAAGGGAAGUCUUCUGCUCUUUGCUCUGCAGGAAAACCAUCUUUGUAUAAACUGCUCACAGUAACACCCUGUGUUCACAUUGCCUCCAGAAGAGUAUGACAUCUGACCACUUCUUCUUUCAAGUUUGCUUUAAUCAAGAAGUUGCUAAGAAGUAAGUCAAUCCCCCGUGCAUGUAAUGUCCACUCCUCUGUUCCUCUUCUGAGCAAACCAAAAAUGUACUGUCCUCAGCGCUAUCCUUCCUGCCUCCCCAUCUUAUUCCUCGUAUUUUGGUGUUCCCCAUAUCUCGCUGCUUCUACGCAUGCAAUUGUAAGCUCGCUCUGUUACAUCAGUGAAGAGGCAGAAGGUAGCUCUUUCCAGCUGAUCUUAUGUUUGCUGCUAUAAAGCUGUAAUUCCAAAAAGAAAAUAGAAGGUAAGUCCCCAAAGUUUUAGGAAUCUUUCCAGGGCCAGGAGAGUGCACUAUGAGAAAGCGUUGGUUUUACAGAAUCAGACCAGUACGUUGCUCUGUGAUAGUGGGGCACAGCUGUGAGGUGAUAAUGUCUACAUCACAGCAUUGUGAUUUGAGUAUCACAGUUUUAAAUUAAGAAAGAAGUGAUGGUUCCAAUAUUUCAUUUAAAAAAUCUCAGUUGGCAUCUGCAGUGGGAUUUAUUUAACUCACUUUGUGGCUGGCAGAGAAAAAAUGACUCCCUUGCUUCUGGGACCUGAGGACUAUAAAGAACACGAGACAGCAGAAAAAGAGAGAAGAGAGAUGGAGGGGAAAGGGGAGAAUUGAGAAGGAUGCAUCCCAGCUGAGCUAGAUGCCAGCUAACAUUGUGAGCCUGGAGGAUGGCUCAGCGCAGAGGUCAGACUGGAAACUUCUUAUCUGGGGUCGAGCGCAGUUAGGAGGGGAUGCGUGUUCAGAGGUGUACAUAUCAACGUACGUCUGCCUCUCCUAAGCAGCCCUGUGGUUGCUGUCACUCAGAUGAACCAGGAGAUAUGUCACUGCGAGUUUUGCUGGCAUCCUGUUUGAACAGCUCACGGAGAUGAAAAGUUUGUCCUUGCUAGCUAUUUUAGAUCUGACCUGAGGGCACGCUCACAUUUCGCUGGGUUUGUUCUUGUGUCAGGACAGUGAUAACUGAACAAAAGUUAUUUCAGUCUCACGAGAGCAUUUAUACAACUUUUCUAAUUAUUUUUAAACAAAAACUGUGGAAAUAGAACAUGGUGGCCUGGUG